rnacentral:lncRNA from 1 species
GGUACAAAGAAUUUCUUGUGGGAUAUGACCCUUAACCAACUGAAGUUGAAGGGGGACACUACAAAUCUUCUUUCUGGUAAGAAGCUGUCUAGUUUCCCAUGACUUGAUCUGGGUAACAAGUUGACAAAGCUGACCCGAUAAACACAGGU